rnacentral:rRNA from 1 species
UACGAAGGGGGCUAGCGUUGUUCGGAAUUACUGGGCGUAAAGCGCGCGCAGGCGGUCUUCCAAGUCAGUGGUGAAAGCCCGGAGCUCAACUCCGGAAAUGCCAUUGAAACUGUGAGACUGGAGUACGAGAGAGGUGAGUGGAAUUCCCAGUGUAGAGGUGAAAUUCGUAGAUAUUGGGAAGAACACCAGUGGCGAAGGCGGCCCGCUGGGCAGUGGCUGACGCUGAGGCGCGACAGCGUGGGGAGCAAACAGG